CUCCUCCUGCUCUCCUUCAUCCUCCUCUCCCUCCUCCUCCUCCGCAGCGCUGCUGUUGGUGCUGUCGCUGCCGGAGUCCUCCAGCCCCGAGUAAACGCUCUCCUCGCUGUCUGUCAGGUCGUCAUCGCUCUCGAGCUCCAGGGGCUGCUCCAUGGUCUCCACGGCCGCCUCCCGCGUGCGCUGCUGCCGCCGCCGCCGCUGCUGCCGCCCUCCGCG
rnacentral:lncRNA from 1 species